rnacentral:rRNA from 1 species
UCAAGCUGUAAAGGGCGCAAGGGGAAUGCCUUGGCACUGAGAGCCGACGAAGGACGCGACAAGCUGCGAUAAGCUACGGGGAGCCGCAAAUGGGCUUUGAUCCGUAGAUUUCCGAAUGGGGAAACCCGGCAGAGCAAUACUCUGUCAACAUGUACUGAAUACAUAGGUGCAUGUGGGGAACCGCCUGAACUGAAACAUCUAAGUAGGGCGAGGAAGAGAAAUCAACCGAGAUUCCGCUAGUAGUGGCGAGCGAACGCGGAAGAGGCCAAACCAAGAGUAGUAAUACUUUUGGGGUUCGGACUGAGUACGGUAUUGACAAAGGUUAGUGGAAUGAAAUGGGAAGUUCAACCAUAGAGCGUGAGAGUCGCGUAUACGAAAACUUGAGUCAGCCAUCAGUAUCCAGAGUACCGCCGGACACGUGAAACCCGGUGGGAAGACGGGGGGACCACCCUCCAAGCCUAAAUACUCACCAAUGACCGAUAGUGUAUAGUACUGUGAAGGAAAGGUGAAAAGAACCCCUGGCGGGGAGUGAAAAAGAACCUGAAACCUUGUGCCUACAAGCACAUAGAGCACAUCAACGUGUGAUAUGGUACCUUUUGUAGAAUGGUCCGGCGAGUGAAUGUCACUAGCGAGGUUAAGGACUUAAGGUCUGCAGCCGAAGCGAAAGCGAGUCUUAAUAGGGCGACAAUAGUUAGUGGUAUUCGACCCGAAACCGAGUGACCUAGCCAUGAGCAGGCUGAAGUGGAGGUAAAACUCCAUGGAGGGCCGAACCCACUCCCGUUGAAAUGGUAGGGGAUGACUUGUGGCUAGCGGAGAAAUUCCAAUCGAACUCGGAGAUAGCUGGUUCUCUCCGAAAUAGCUUUAGGGCUAGCCUCAAAUAACAUUACCGCAGGUAAAGCACUGAAUGGGCUAGGGGGCGAAAGCUUACUGAACCCUAUCAAACUAAGAAUGGCGGAUAAUGAAUAUUUGGGAGUCACACUACGUGAGAUAAGUUUCGUGGUGGAAAGGGAAACAGCCCAGACCCACAGCUAAGGUCCCAAAGUACAGUUAAGUGGAAAAGGAUGUGAAGUUGCGCAGACAACCAGGAUGUUGGCUCAGAAGCAGCCACUCAUUCAAAGAGUGCGUAAUAGCUCACUGGUCGAGUGAUUUUGCGCCGAAAAUUUAACGGGGCUAAACUGUACACCGAAGCUUGGGAAUAUACCUCUGGUAUGUUGGUAGGAGAGCGUCGUAUGCGGGGUGAAGUCGUAGCGAAAGCGGCGGUGGACUGCAUAGGAGUGAGAAUGCCGGAAUGAGUAGCGAGAAUUAUGUGAGAAUCAUAAUGGCCGAAAGACUAAGGUUUUAGAAGGAAGGUUCGUCCGCUUCUAGUUAGCCGGGAGCUAAGGCGAGGCCGAAAGGCGUAGUCGAUGCACAUACGGUUGAGAUUCCGUAGCCACCUUAAAUUUAAACUAAGGGACACAUUGAAAGGGAAUAACCCAGGCGUUGGUUGACCUGGGCGUAAGGGAACGAAAAUAAGUAGUGAAGUAUUCUUGGACAGUGGCGAGAAAAGCUUAGUGUAUAUUAUUAGGGUGCCCGUACUGCAAACCGACACAGGUAGUCAGGAAGAGAAUUCUAAGGCCAUCGGGAGAAGCGUUGUUAAGGAACUCGGCAAAUUGACCCCGUAACUUCGGAAUAAGGGGUGCUCACGCGAGUGAGCCGCAGUGAAUAGGUCCAGGCAACUGUUUAUCAAAAACACAGCUCUCUGCUAAAUCGUAAGAUGACGUAUAGGGGGUGACACCUGCCCGGUGCUGGAAGGUUAAGAGGAGGGGUGCAAGCUCCGAAUUGAAGCCCCAGUAAACGGCGGCCGUAACUAUAACGGUCCUAAGGUAGCGAAAUUCCUUGUCGGGUAAGUUCCG